AACGAACGCUGGCGGCAGGCUUAACACAUGCAAGUCGAACGCCCCGCAAGGGGAGUGGCAGACGGGUGAGUAACGCGUGGGAACGUGCCCUUCGCUUCGGAAUAUUCCCGGGAAACUGGGAGCAAUGCCGAAUACGCCGUAUUGGGAAAGAUUUAUCGGCGAAGGAUCGGCCCGCGCUAGAUUAGGUAGUUGGCGGUGUAAUGGACCACCAAGCCUACGAUCUAUAGCUGGUCUGAGAGGAUGAUCAGCCACACUGGGACUGAGACACGGCCCAGACUCCUACGGGAGGCAGCAGUGGGGAAUAUUGGACAAUGGGGGCAACCCUGAUCCAGCAAUGCCGCGUGAGUGAUGAAGGCCUUAGGGUUGUAAAGCUCUUUUACCGGGGACGAUGAUGACGGUACCCGGAGAAUAAGCCCCGGCUAACUUCGUGCCAGCCGCCGCCGUAAGAC
rnacentral:rRNA from 1 species